CCUACGGGUGGCUGCAGUCGAGAAUCUUCGGCAAUGAGCGCAAGCUUGACCGAGCGACGCCGCGUGCGGGAUGAAGGCCUUCGGGUUGUAAACCGCGAAAGUAGGGAGGAAAUUGCUAGGGGUUCUCCCCUAGUAUUGACCUAUCUUCAGUAAGGACGGGCUAAGUUCGUGCCAGCAGCCGCGGUAAUACGAACCGUCCAAACGUUAUUCGGAUUUAUUGGGCUUAAAGGGUAUGUAGGCGGCGCUGUCAGUCGGGUGUGAAAGCCCUCGGCUCAACCGAGGAACUGCGCCCGAUACUGCAGUGCUUGAGGGAGACAGAGGUAAGCGGAACUGAUGGUGGAGCGGUGAAAUGCGUUGAUAUCAUCAGGAACACCAGUGGCGAAAGCGGCUUACUGGGUCUCUUCUGACGCUGAGAUACGAAAGCUAGGGGAGCGAACGGG
rnacentral:rRNA from 1 species